GUGCAUUUCCGCCGGCGCUGGGCGGAGGGGGGAGGGGGUUUCCUGCGGCUACGGCCGCUUUCCCGAGCGGUCCCGAGCCGUUCCGAACCGUCCCGAACCGUGCCGCAACCUUCUCGCGUCGUUCCGUCUGACCCCGCCAACGACAGUACCCGCGCCCCGGAUGAGCCCACCAUGUGCAGAGCCAUCAUGGGAGUUGUAUCAGGAAUAUUCUAGACCCCAGUGUCCUUGAGCUUGGAGAAAGAUGAGAUCACGUUGGAACCGAGACACUUGUGACCACCUGCUCUCUGGCAUCCUCCUCACUCUAGGAGAGCUGCCUUGGAUCUGGAGAUUGCUGGAGGAAGCCUGAGGGGAUGGAGGCACUGGCCCUCUCAGGAUGACCCGGGUCUCAGCUGCCCUGGAGAGAACUCCUCAUGAUUAUGCUGGGAUUGAUCAUGGACACUAGAGUAGUAUGAUGAAGAAUAAUGUUGCCAUGUGGAGCAUCACCAGACCUUCUUACCCUGUUGCCUCAGCACAGCAUGGAACGACUUUUCUCUCUGUGUAAGCAGGCCCAGUAAGCAAGGAAAGCCCUGGGACCCUAGAGGCUUGUGGUCCAGAGCUGGAGACUUCAGCUGGUUCUGCCGCUCCCCCAGCGGUGUCACUGAGCACCAUGAACCAGGAAGACCGGUUCCCUUCCACCUGGGUCACGUUGUCCAGCAGCCUCCACGUCUCCCCGCCUACUCCUCCCGUAACUUUUUAGAACCAAGAGUUUUCAGUACUGUGCAUCGUUGUCCUCUCACCCACCCAAUAAAUCUUGAAACUGC